AUUGAACGCUGGCGGCAGGCCUAACACAUGCAAGUCGAGCGCGAAAGUUUCUUCGGAAGCGAGUAGAGCGGCGGACGGGUGAGUAACGCGUAGGAAUCUACCCAGUAGUGGGGGACAACUCGGGGAAACUCGAGCUAAUACCGCAUACGCCCUAAGGGGGAAAGCAGGGGAUCUUCGGACCUUGCGCUAUCGGAUGAGCCUGCGUCGGAUUAGCUUGUUGGUGAGGUAAUGGCUCACCAAGGCGACGAUCCGUAGCUGGUCUGAGAGGAUGAUCAGCCACACUGGGACUGAGACACGGCCCAGACUCCUACGGGAGGCAGCAGUGGGGAAUAUUGGACAAUGGGGGAAACCCUGAUCCAGCCAUGCCGCGUGUGUGAAGAAGGCUCUAGGGUUGUAAAGCACUUUCAGUAGGGAGGAAAAGUUGAUAGCUAAUAACUGUCAGCCCUGACGUUACCUACAGAAGAAGCACCGGCAAACUCCGUGCCAGCAGCCGCGGUAAUACGGAGGGUGCGAGCGUUAAUCGGAAUUACUGGGCGUAAAGCGCGCGUAGGCGGUUUGAUAAGCUGGAUGUGAAAGCCCCGGGCUCAACCUGGGAACUGCAUCCAGAACUGUCUGACUAGAGUACAGUAGAGGUGAGUGGAAUUUCCUGUGUAGCGGUGAAAUGCGUAGAUAUAGGAAGGAACAUCAGUGGCGAAGGCGGCUCACUGGACUGAUACUGACGCU
rnacentral:rRNA from 1 species